rnacentral:lncRNA from 1 species
GGAGUAAAUAAAUAAUGACAUUUUAAUACAACAAAUGUUCCUACUAAGGGAAAAUAAUCUGUAUUUUAACCUUACACCAGCCACAAUCCUUAUUCUAGACAAAUCACCAGGGGGAUGUAUAAUUUUUUUAACAGCACCAAGCACUUGAAUAAAUACAUCUUCUAAUUGGUGGUAUAUAUCAUGUAUACCCAAAAAAUAUGAGACCCAGUUUUAUAGCUUGUGCAUGGUCAAUGAAAUGUAUAAAAUCUAACUUUUGCCACCUUCCAAAAUGCAAUGUGCUGUUUUUAUCGAACUCAGUAGACCACUUUUUGUUGGCAGUAUAUGAACUGUAUCUUUAAUUGAUCAUACCAACCCUACAAUUAUCAACAGACUAAGAACGAACAAUAAAUGAAAUAAAGAAUAUAAAAUUCCAUGAAGUGGUUUAGGAGAAAUAAAUGUUAUAGUCUGUUUGUUGAAGUCAUAAAAGUCUG